AAACACCUUAAGAAUAAUAUGAAAUAUGAUGUCUUGUGUCUGCAAUUUAAUCACACCAAGGUUAACAGCUUUCAAACUGAUGGCAACUCUCCACAAGAACGGUUUCAGCCUUAUUGGUAUGGUUAUAUAAGUUGCCACAUAUUUUCAAAAAAUUUCAUCCACGGAGAAGGCCGGAAUCAC